rnacentral:rRNA from 1 species
GACGAACGCUGGCGGCGGGCUUAACACAUGCAAGUCGAACGGAAAGGCCCUGCUUUUGUGUGGUGCUCGAGGGGCGAACGGGUGAGUAACACGUGAGUAACCUGCCCUGGACGUUGGGAUAACUUCAGGAAACUGGGGCUAAUACCGGAGAGGAGCUCCUGCUGCAUGGUGGGGGUUGGAAAGUUUCGGCGGUUGGGGAUGGACUCGCGGCUUAUCAGCUUGUGGGUGGGGUAGUGGCUUACCAAGGCUUUGAAGGGUAGCCGGCCUGAGAGGGUGAACGGCCACCUUGGGCCUGAGAUACGGACCAGACUCCUACGGGAGGCAGCAGUGGGGAAUCUUGCACAACGGGCCGAAGCCUGAUGAAGAAACGCCGCGUGCGGGAUGAAGGCCUUCGGGUUGUAAACCGCUUUAGCCUGUGACGAAGCGUGAGUGACGGUAAUGGGUAAAGAAGCACCGGCUAACUACGUG